GAUGAACGCUGGCGGCGUGCCUAAUACAUGCAAGUCGAGCGAACAGACGAGGAGCUUGCUCCUCUGACGUUAGCGGCGGACGGGUGAGUAACACGUGGAUAACCUACCUAUAAGACUGGGAUAACUUCGGGAAACCGGAGCUAAUACCGGAUAAUAUAUUGAACCGCAUGGUUCAAUAGUGAAAGACGGUUUUGCUGUCACUUAUAGAUUGAUCCGCGCCGCAUUAGCUAGUUGGUAAGGUAACGGCUUACCAAGGCAACGAUGCGUAGCCGACCUGAGAGGGUGAUCGGCCACACUGGAACUGAGACACGGACCAGACUCCUACGGGAGGCAGCAGUAGGGAAUCUUCCGCAAUGGGCGAAAGCUUGACGGAGCAACGCCGCGUGAGUGAUGAAGGUCUUCGGAUCGUAAAACUCUGUUAUUAGGGAAGAACAAAUGUGUAAGUAACUAUGCACGUCUUGACGGUACCUAAUCAGAAAGCCACGGCUAACUACGUG
rnacentral:rRNA from 1 species